AUCAGGUCCAAUUGAUCCUGAUUCUUUUAAUUCUGCCAGUACUUCUGAAACUUCUUCUAUCCAUCCUAGCUCACCAUAAAUGUUAAUCAUAAUGUUGUAAGUGUAAUGAUCAGAAGAGUGACCAGAUUCCUUCAGUCUUUCCAAGACAUUACGGAAUUUCUCCAUUUGUCCUUCCUUCCCAUAGGCAUCUAACAUACAAUUGUAGGCUUCAAGAGAAACCGAAAACCCAUUGAAGUGCAUUUUCUUGACAGUUGAUGACAUAUUCUUGAAGUCUUUGCUUCUCCCAUAUGCAGCUAUGAGAGUGUUGUAAGAG
rnacentral:misc_RNA from 1 species